rnacentral:lncRNA from 10 species
CAGACCUUUAAGGCUAGAAAAUGUCUGUCUAUAAGUAUGAAUAAAUAUGCAUAUGUACAAUAUAGAUGUAUACAUACAUUUAUAUUUCUUCUUAUAUCUACCUAUCCAUCCAUCCACCUGCCCCCUUCCUUCCUCUCUCUCUCUCUUCAUCCACCAUUGGUCUGUCUAUCUAUCUAUCUAUCUAUCUAUCUAUCUAUCUAUCUAUCUAUCUAUCAUCUUCCUAUCUAUCAUGAAUGUACAUCAAUAACUCUAAUUUGAAUCUCACAACACAGGUCUCUUACAGCUUUCUCCCUUUUCACGUCUGUACCUUCUUUCUCCAACAGUCAGAACACAGGCUCCUAUGAUGUUUACACACACAUGAAACGUUGACAUCUGUACUUAUUCUCCUGCAUGGGGCCAGACUCCCACCCUGUCUACUGCUUCUUCACCCACCUGCCAUUCUCCCAGGGGGCAUCCACUGCUGCUGGCCACUGCCUUCCACCUCCUGAGCCAGAAAGGCUCUUGUCUGAAAGUAAAGGAAGAGAGAGGUGAGAGUAGACAGAGAGAGAGAAGAAAAGAAGAAAGUCAAGGAGGAUAAGUACGAUAGGAGAUGGCCUUCUCACUUUACCUUUUGGAAAAUGCCUGGGACUCAAGGCAUAGCAACCUCACUGGGGAGAGGACACACGUCGAAUGCUGCCUACAGAGCUAGACUGGGUAAGUGUGGGUGAACGUGGCCCCAGCCACCUGUAUUUCUUGCUCUGUAGCUUAGUUUCUGCAUCAGUAAAAUCCAAAGGUUGGAUGAGACCAUUGUGAGGGCCUGCCUAGCUUUGACA